UCAUACACUUAAUAGAUCAUAGGAGGAUCUGUACCAUUCACACUUAUCAGUGUUGAUUGGCUUUGUCAUGCAUCUGCUAGGUUAUCUUUAAUAUGAAUCUUUUGCAUAUCCAAACUCCAUUCUUCUACUACUUCUCGAACAAAGUGAUAUUAUACUCCAAUGUAUUUUGUUCUUGAAUGAAAGUCAGAAUUUCUUACAAUGUGCAAGGCACUCUGACAGCCACAAUACACAGAAAUCUUCUGUUAUUUGUGUCCGAGUUCCUCCAUCAACUUUUGGAUUCAAAUAGCUUCCUUGCAUUCUUGUGUAGUUGCCAUAUAUUCAACUUCUGUAGUAGAUAGAGCUACAACAGUAUGUAAUUUAGAUAGCCAACUCACAGCUCCUCCUAUCUGCGAUAAAUUGACGUACUACCGCAACUACUUGAGCAAUAUCUGGCC